CAUUCAUAAACCCGACAUGAGUUUGAAUAUUUUAACAAUCCGUUUUUUGCCUGCCAAUGUGCCAAUUCAUCAAAACACAGAAUUCGAAAAAAUAAAAGACGAAUAUUUUUAAGAGUUGUUUCGUUUGACGAUAAUUUAUCGGUUUUCGAAGGUACUGAAGAUUUGGAACAAAACCAUGAAACCACCCAACUCAAUAUUAAAGCGAAAGAUGAGGCAAAAGAUGAAGAUUUUUUCGAUUUUGUGGAUAUUCCAUCCAAUUUGGCAAGUCCUAACCGUUUGUAAUAUUAUAAGAAGAUUUCUGGAGGGCCAAUUCAAUGUAAUUUUUUCUAAUUUGUAUAACUUAAAGAUUAAAAAAAAAUGAGAAGAAAUUUUGUCGUAUGCAUUUUAAAUAAGAUAAUAUAUACAUGUGUACAUAUUGCACACAUCUCAUGCUUAUUAAUGGAUUUAUGCACAGAAAAUGUAAUUUGGUUUUUUAAUAAAAUAAG
rnacentral:lncRNA from 1 species